GAUGAACGCUGGCGGCGUGCUUAACACAUGCAAGUCGAACGGAAAGGCCCAAGCUUGCUUGGGUACUCGAGUGGCGAACGGGUGAGUAACACGUGGGUGAUCUGCCCUGCACUUCGGGAUAAGCCUGGGAAACUGGGUCUAAUACCGGAUAGGACCACAUUUUGGAUGGUGUGGUGGAAAGAUUUUCGGUGUGGGAUGAGCUCGCGGCCUAUCAGCUUGUUGGUGGGGUAAUGGCCUACCAAGGCGUCGACGGGUAGCCGGCCUGAGAGGGUGUACGGCCACAUUGGGACUGAGAUACGGCCCAGACUCCUACGGGAGGCAGCAGUGGGGAAUAUUGCACGAUGGGCGCCAGCCUGAUGCAGCGACGCCGCGUGGGGGAUGACGGCCUUCGGGUUGUAAACUCCUUUCGCUAGGGACGAAGCGUUAUGUGACGGUACCUGGAGAAGAAGCACCGGCUAACUACGUG
rnacentral:rRNA from 1 species